rnacentral:misc_RNA from 1 species
GACACAUUGAACGCUCCGCCGCUAUGGUUUUAGCACCGCUUUUGGACGCAAAUGUCAUCACCAUUGACGGAAUUGUUCCAAAGGUAGCUCGUCAAGGAAACAGAUACAAACUUCCCUGUCAAGUUCACAUCUUUGCAAGAUUUGAAGCAUUUGAAAUAGUAAAAUCAGCAAUUACAAAUGGUGGGUUGUAUUUGAUUGGUGAGAACAA